AACGAACGCUGGCGGCAUGCCUAACACAUGCAAGUCGAACGGGACCUUCGGGUCUAUUGGCGCACGGGUGCGGAACGCGGGGGAACUUGCCCGUAGGUUCGGAAUAACUCCCCGAGGGGGGUCCUAAGACCGGAGAGUGUCUUCGGACCAACGAGUUUUCGCUUUUGGGUGGGCCCGCGUUGGAUUAGCCAGUUGGUAGGGUAAAAGCCGACCAAGGCGACGUUCCAUGGCUGGUCUGUGAGGAUGCUCAACCACACUGGGACUGCGGCACGGCCCAGUCCGCUACGGGGCGGAGCAGUAGGGAAUAUAGGGGGCUGGGGGCAAAUCUAGUCCAGCCAUGCCGGGGAAGAGGUGAAGGGCUUAGUGUUGUGCUUCCCUCUUACCCGGGGUGAUAAUGACAGUACCGGGAGAAUAAGCACCGGCUAACUACGUG
rnacentral:rRNA from 1 species